rnacentral:misc_RNA from 1 species
CCUUCCGUAGGUGAACCUGCGGAAGGAUCAUUACUGAGUGCGGGCUGCCUCCGGGCGCCCAACCUCCCACCCGUGAAUACCUAACACUGUUGCUUCGGCGGGGAACCCCCUCGGGGGCGAGCCGCCGGGGACUACUGAACUUCAUGCCUGAGAGUGAUGCAGUCUGAGUCUGAAUAUAAAAUCAGUCAAAACUUUCAACAAUGGAUCUCUUGGUUCCGGCAUCGAUGAAGAACGCAGCGAACUGCGAUAAGUAAUGUGAAUUGCAGAAUUCAGUGAAUCAUCGAGUCUUUGAACGCACAUUGCGCCCCCUGGCAUUCCGGGGGGCAUGCCUGUCCGAGCGUCAUUGCUGCCCAUCAAGCCCGGCUUGUGUGUUGGGUCGUCGUCCCCCCCGGGGGACGGGCCCGAAAGGCAGCGGCGGCACCGUGUCCGGUCCUCGAGCGUAUGGGGCUUUGUCACCCGCUCGACUAGGGCCGGCCGGGCGCCAGCCGACGUCUCCAACCAUUUUUCUUCAGGUUGACCUCGGAUCAGGUAGGGAUACCCGCUGAACUUAAGCAUAUCAAUAAGCGGAGGA